rnacentral:rRNA from 1 species
UACCAGCUCUCCGAGUGGUAGGGAUGAUUAUUGGGCUUAAAGCGUCCGUAGCCGGCUUAGCAAGUUUCCUGUUAAACUCAGCGACUCAAUCGUUGGAUCGCGGGAAAUACUACUAGGCUAGGAGGCGGGAGAGGUCAACGGUACUUCUGGGGUAGGGGUGAAAUCCUAUAAUCCCGGGAGGACCACCAGUGGCGAAGGCUGUUGACUAGAACGCGCUCGACGGUGAGGGACGAAAGCUGGGGGAGCGAACCGGAUUAGAUACCCGGGUAGUCCCAGCUGUAAACGAUGCGAGCUAGGUGUUGGAAUGGCUACGGGCCAUUUCAGUGCCGCAGGGAAGCCAGUAAGCUCGCCGCCUGGGGAGUACGGCCGCAAGGCUGAAACUUAAAGGAAUUGGCGGGGGAGCACCACAAGGGGUGAAGCUUGCGGUUU